CCUACGGGUGGCUGCAGUGGGGAAUAUUGGGCAAUGGAGGCAACUCUGACCCAGCAACGCCGCGUGAAUGAUGAAGGUCUUCGGGUUGUAAAGUUAUGUGAUGGGGGAUGAAAACAAUGACGGUACUCCAAUAGCAAGCCACGGCUAACUACGUGCCAGCAGCCGCGGUAAGACGUAUGUGGCAAGCGUUAUCCGGAAUGACUGGGCGUAAAGGGUGCGUAGGUGGUUUAGUAAGUUAGCAGUGUAAGUCCUGGGCUCAACCUCAGCGCUACCGCUAAAACUAUUAUACUAGAGUGUGGGAGGGGUAAGUGGAAUUCCUAGUGUAGCGGUAGAAUGCGUAGAUAUUAGGAGGAACAUCAGGGGCGAAGGCGACUUACUGGACUAUAACUGACGCUGAGGCACGAAAGCGUGGGGAGCAAACAGGAUUAGAUACCCCAGUAGUC
rnacentral:rRNA from 1 species